CUCUCCCGCUCCACAACCAUUGCCUAGCCCCCACCUCUCCGUGGCCUUCCACCACCACCGCGCCGCCAUUGCCUAGCCCCCACCACUACGCCGCCCUGGACUCCCCCCACCACCACCGCGCCGCCAUGGCACCAAGGUCGGAAGCACCCAUGCAAAUCUGAGAUGCGGCGGUGCUUGCAAGCUCGGACGAUGUCGUUCGCGAACGGUGGCGCUCGUAAUUCCAUCCGCCCCACGGCCUCGUGCGACUCCGCGAGAUCCAGAUCUGGGCGGUAGCUGUCGUCCGCCGCGGGUUCCCUCAUGGUCGCGUUCGCCUUCGCUACCUUGAUAAGUCGAUGUCAGGGGCGCGUCGUCACCAUGAUUCAGAAUCUGCAGGCCGUCACCAUGCACCAGGAUCUCGCCACCGUGCUCCGUGGAUCACCAACAUCGACUGAUGAUCACAGAUUCACAUGUGUCCUAAAAGAAGGCAGACGAUGGUCUAUUCUGCUACAAUUAUAGAGCAAAUUGAUGAACAUAUGAAACUUUCGCUAAACAAACAAACUUCGUCUUGAAGCCGAUCCAUCGCUGAACCGCCCUGCUGUUGCUGCAACAUUGACUGAAGAGGUAGUUAGAAUAAGAUGACCAUGUCAACCAAAUCAAGCUGUUCUGCUUGCUUUCCGUUUGAAGACAUUUAAGGAAAGAGUAAUCAUUUUUAGGAUGAGCAGUGAGCUGUAGUUGAACAAUCUGGAGCUGGGGAACUUCAACGACAAGAUCAAGAAGAACUAGGUGAAGAUCAACCUUAAGAACUAGCUAACAUUGCCAACAUUGUCUAGGUUCAUUCCUUGCUUUCUCAUAAGUUUAAGUGUCUGUUGCUAUCUGUGUUUGUUGGUUAGAAUGAUUCGGGCAUGUGUACUGCAGGAACCAUGGAUGUACUAUGUUUUCUAAAUGAUGAGACUUCACUAUGCGCAGCCCGGGACCUCCUUCUGUCAACCCCUGUUCUAUUGCCCUACUGGCAAGCAACAAGGAAAUCAUUCAGGAUGUGAAUGGGGGUUUGGAGAUAGCUGUUGUGACAAAGGAUGGGAAGAUGCGUGAAGAUGGUGCACUGCAGUUUUUAGUUGAUAAGGCCAUCAUCUUUUGAUGCCUGUGUGUAUAUAACUGUUCUUGGUUUCUGCUGUAACUUAAUGUGUGAUGUCGCUACUAAUUUUCUGAAUAUAUUGAAUGAAUCAU